AAUUGCUUUUUGCUUGGAGCUGAGAGACUAAGGAACCUAAGAACAAAUUGUUACAGAGAAGAGCACCUCAGGUUCUCUGUUAAUUUAAGGGAGAAGAGAGACCCAAGUGAGGGAAGACUGCAAGGGAGAAACUGCAGGAGAGCUGGCCCCAGAGGUAAAACCCUUAUUCCACUGUAGACAAUAAGACCCACAGCACCACAACACAUGGGUGCUCUGGGCUCCUGGCUCACCCAGCACUACAGACUGUGCCAUGCCGCCCCACCGUGCACCACCCCCUGGAGCUGGGUCAGGCAGUGGAAGUCAGAGGAUGGAAGAACCCCAAGAUCCUGGCUACUGCUGCAGCAGGAGCAAGGGGUAGCAGUGGCUGAGUGGAAAUCCAGGGAGGUACCAGUUGGACAGCCCCGAUCUAUAUCAUACAUUUAUGUACACUUCUGUUUACAAUGAUGUGAUAUGUACGCACAAAAAAGGGACCAGUGUGCACAAAGCAACAACAAAAAUUCAGCAUACAUAAUACUUCAAAAUAUAAUAUAAUGUAAAAUAAAAAUAUAAAAAUAAAGAGCAGAGACGGAGAGCCAAUGAUUAUGGGGGAAAAAAAGGAGAUUAUGUGUAGACUAUCUCCAUCUCCAUGUCCCCUCCUUGUGUCAACCCAGAUUGUAGAGUGCUGGGAAAGAAUGUUCAAUACCUCUAAUAUAGCACAAAUUUCCCUUGAGCUACAGAAAGUAUUUUAAUUGCAUCAGCCUUUGGGGGAAGAUAUUUAAAAGGGAAAAGUUCAUCUGUCAAAAUACUUGCAAGGUAUUUAUGUAGUAAUUUGUAUGCACUGUCAUUUUACUUCCUUACUUACCUACCCAGCACCCUCAUCAAUAGGGUGAAAAAAAAUCAACUGCUAUUCAAGUUCUCAUCCAAAAUUUUCAGUAAUCCAUACACACUUAUCUCAGGUUAUAAUUGAAUUUUUUAAAGUCCACUAGUAUAGUAUAAACUACAACUUAUUUAAUGUAUGAAAAUUAAUUACAACUCCUAGAAGUAUGUCCUUGAAGCAAAAGUUAAUUUCAUUAAGACCCAGCAAUCAGUAGCUCUGCUUUCUUUAACUAACUAAAUGAAGUACCUAAGGAACUAGAUAAAAUGUACAGUGGAAUCUCAAUAAGGUUCAUGGCAAUAAUCUUGGCACGUGACUGAUUUCAUGACCUAUCACGUGAUUUAAGAAAAAUAUUUCCUUUUACAAACCUUUCAUUAACAUGAUAGGAAUGAAAUAUUCAUUUUCACUUGCUCUCAGAAUAUUUCAAGUAACCCCUACUUUUAAAUAAAGACUAAAUACAUAAAUAAAAUAAAUAUAAAAUAAAUAAAAAUGUAGAAGCUCAUGUUAUAGAGUCCAGCUCUAACAAACCAAACGAUCGGUCAUUAUUUUCUAGCUGUAUGUGUAUAAUCCUGACUGCAAAAGGCUUAAGCAAACCACCCAGCAUCUGACACACCUUAGUGGCCAGACCUACCUGCCCACACUCCCCAGUAUCCCUUUCUCUCCUAAUUCUCACCUGCCACAACUUGAUCUUUGGGUCUUUCUGGAGGUUGCCUCCAGAGGCCAGGGUAACCACAUCUUAGAUGCCACUCCAUGUUGCACAACCCUCUGAACUUCUCUAUCCCAAACCCUAGAGGGUGGAUUUCCUCUUUAAGACAGCCACAGUUGUGCCUUAGGGGCAAUAAUCAUGACUCCAGCUGCCCCCAUAGAAAUACCCUCACAGAUGUCACAGAUGUCAGUCAGUGUUUAGAGAGGGAGUGGGGAUCCUUGGCCCUGGCUCUACCCUCAGCCCCUCAAGCCUCAAACCUUUGUUGAGGUUUCCACCCGACUUCAGCCCCUUUCCUCAAGCUAGGCCUCCCCCAGCCCAAGGUCUACUGCUCUAGCUCCUGUCUCCUGCUUUCAGCCCCGUCUCCUGCUCCUGCUUAUUCAGGGUUCCUGUGUCAUGCACUCUGGUCCAGCCCUCAGGGUCCCUGACCCCAAGCCAGGCUGUCCUCACUGUUUCCAUCCUCAGCCCUCUGGUGCUUGGCCCCGAGCUGGGCUGCUUGCUCUUUCAGCCCUCUGGUCCCUGACCCAAGCUAGGCUGCUUGAUACCAAGUUCUCUACCAGGCACCCCUCCAUAGGGUCCACGCCUCCCCCAUAGCCAAAAUCCAGUCCUCCAGUACUAAACAAACAUAAACAUCAACAGAAAAGAAAUAUCCAUACACUGCUUCCACAAAGCCCUUCCCUGCUCUGGGUCAAUACCCUACCCCCAAAUUAUACUUCCCCAUACUGGGCUCACUCCCUCUCCUGGGUAGCUUGACUGUCCAUGGACUUGCACCCUAAAGUCAGCUUCCCUAAGGAAACUCCUCUCCCUGUAACAUGCAGACUCUAACUGCAUACUCCAGCUCAGGCCUGAGGCUUAUAUGCCUUGGAGCCCUGCUCCCUUUCUGUCAUGUGGCUCAUACAGCCAUGCUCAGGAGUUUCCCCUGUUUAAUGAAGGGCCAGCCUGUGCUCCUGCUACUACAGCUUGGCCUGCUGCCUUCCCUUAAGUAACAGGAGCCUUCUGGCUUCCUAUUACAAUGACCAAAUAGAUGUACAAUAAUCUAGGCCAGGAGGAAGCCCAUUGAAAAUGGCCCAAUUUUUUUCCAGGAAAAAAAAAAGCUAAAUUUCUCUUUCUUUGGUCUUUGGUGAAAGUUUCAGAGCAGCUUCCCCUUUCAACCUGAAAUCAGUGAGGUAGAGCCAGGGUUUUUUCUUAGCAUAAGGUAUCCAGGUUGUAGUCAUAUUGGUCUAGAGGAAAAGGCAAUCCUACUACGAGUCCUGAUUGCCUUUUCUUAACAUAAUGCAUUUGUGUAUUAUACCUACACACACCAUGCCAUGAUCUCUUAAAUAGUGUGACAAAUUAGUGUCACAAACUGCACACAGAGAAGUCCUUCUUGCCCAAGCAGCAGCCAAAGCACUGAGCAACAGCUGUGUUGGGCCUCUGCCUGUCUCUUGAACACUCACUCAUCUAAAUGACUAUCCCACAGGUCCCCCCUUCCUGCUCCUGCCUGGGAGAUUUUCAUCUGAGAAACCUAGCUCACAGACCUUCAUGUGAAACAACCUGGGCCCCAAAGCUUAGCCUUAGCAUCAACACUUCUUUUUCCAGUUAUUUUGAAAUAUUAGAAAAAAAUGAGAAAAUAAACUCCCACGCAAAGGGAGCAUCUACAUGUGCCAUUAGGGGGCAUCAAUAAACUUCAGAGUUUAUUGCUUCACUGUUUAUUGCUCCCAGGAAGCUUCCGGGAAUGCAUCUGUGCAUGCACCUGGACCGCAGCACAUUGAGCCGAGUUGCAGCAACCCGAGCUGGCAGGAGAUCCAGGGACUACCCCCCCACCGCCAGCCUG